CACGUAGGGCCAAGCGUUGUCCGGAUUCAUUGGGCGUAAAGAGCUCGUAGGCGGUUCAGUCAGUCGGGUGUGAAAUCUCCGGGCUCAACCCGGAGGGGCCACCCGAUACUGCUGUGACUCGAGUCCGGUAGGGGAGUGGGGAAUUCCUGGUGUAGCGGUGAAAUGCGCAGAUAUCAGGAAGAACACCUAUGGCGAAAGCAGCUCUCUGGGACGGUACUGACGCUGAGACGCGAAAGCGUGGGGAGCGAACAGG
rnacentral:rRNA from 1 species